UUAAUUAUUUUUCUUAUUCCAAGGAGGUGCGGGAAAACAGGAAAAAUAGGAAAAUAUGCAGUUUUGCUUGCUUUCUCGAUAAUAGCUACUGUUGUACAAAUCCGAUUGUCUUAAAAAUUAAAUAUUUUGUU